ACUCAAAUGAAUUGACGGGGGGCCGCACAAGCGGUGGAGCGUGUGGUUUAAUUCGACGCUAAGCGAAGAACCUUACCAGGGCUUGACAUCCCGAUCGUAUGGCUUGGAAACAAGCUAGUCAGUUCGGCUGGAUCGGUGACAGGUGCUGCAUGGUCGUCGUCAGCUCGUGUCGUGAGAUGUUGGGUUAAGUCCCGCAACGAGCGCAACCCUCGUCGCGUGUUGUAUUUUUCACGCGAGACUGCCUCGGUCAACGAGGAGGAAGGUGGGGAUGACGUCAGAUCAGCAUGGCCCUUAUGCCCUGGGCGACACACGCGCUACAAUGGCCGGCACAAUGGGUUGCGAAGCCGCAAGGUGGAGCUAAUCCCAUCCAAAGCCGGUCUCAGUUCGGAUUGAAGGCUGCAACUCGCCUUCAUGAAGUCGGAAUCGCUAGUAAUCGCGGAUCAGCCAUGCCGCGGUGAAUACGUUCUCGGCCCUUGUACACACCGCCCGU
rnacentral:rRNA from 1 species